UACGUAGGGCGCAAGCGUUGUCCGGAAUUAUUGGGCGUAAAGAGCUCGUAGGCGGUUUGUCGCGUCUGCUGUGAAAACCUAAGGCUCAACCUUGGGCUUGCAGUGGGUACGGGCAGACUAGAGUGCGGUAGGGGAGAUUGGAAUUCCUGGUGUAGCGGUGGAAUGCGCAGAUAUCAGGAGGAACACCGAUGGCGAAGGCGGGUCUCUGGGCCGUAACUGACGCUGAGGAGCGAAAGCAUGGGGAGCGAACAGG
rnacentral:rRNA from 1 species